UAAUGAAUAUUGGACAAUGGACGCAAGUCUGAACCAGCCAUGCCGCGUGAAGGAUGAAGGUCCUCUGGAUUGUAAACUUCUUUUAUCUGGGACGAAAAAAGCUCAUUCUUGAGCACUUGACGGUACCAGAAGAAUAAGCACCGGCUAACUCCGUGCCAACAGCCGCGGUAAUACGGAGGGUGCAAGCGUUAUCCGGAUUUACUGGGUUUAAAGGGUGCGUAGGUGGAUUUGUAAGUCAGUGGCGAAAUCUCCGAGCUUAACUCGGAAACUGCCAUUGAUACUAUAAGUCUUGAAUUAUCUGGAGGUAAGCGGAAUAUGUCAUGUAGCGGUGAAAUGCUUAGAUAUUACAUGGAACACCGAUGGCGAAGGCAAUCCCCUGGGCCUGCACUGACGCUCAUGCACGAAAGCGUGGGGAGCAAACA
rnacentral:rRNA from 1 species